ACUCCUACGGGAGGCAGUAGUAGGGAAUCUUCCACAAUGGGCGCAAGCCUGAUGGAGCAACACCGCGUGAGUGAAGAAGGGUUUCGGCUCGUAAAGCUCUGUUGUUAAAGAAGAACACGUAUGAGAGUAACUGUUCAUACGUUGACGGUAUUUAACCAGAAAGUCACGGCUAACUACGUGCCAGCAGCCGCGGUAAUACGUAGGUGGCAAGCGUUAUCCGGAUUUAUUGGGGCGUAAAGAGAGUGCAGGCGGUUUUCUAAGUCUGAUGUGAAAGCCUUCGGCUUAACCGGAGAAGUGCAUCGGAAACUGGAUAACUUGAGUGCAGAAGAGGGUAGUGGAACUCCAUGUGUAGCGGUGGAAUGCGUAGAUAUAUGGAAGAACACCAGUGGCGAAGGCGGCUACCUGGUCUGCAACUGACGCUGAGACUCGAAAGCAUGGGUAGCGAACAGGAUUAGAUACCCUGGUAGGAUAGCG
rnacentral:rRNA from 1 species